rnacentral:rRNA from 1 species
AGUGAACGCUGGCGGUAGGCCUAACACAUGCAAGUCGAACGGCAGCACAGUAAGAGCUUGCUCUUACGGGUGGCGAGUGGCGGACGGGUGAGGAAUACAUCGGAAUCUACUUUUUCGUGGGGGAUAACGUAGGGAAACUUACGCUAAUACCGCAUACGACCUACGGGUGAAAGCAGGGGAUCUUCGGACCUUGCGCGAUUGAAUGAGCCGAUGUCGGAUUAGCUAGUUGGCGGGGUAAAGGCCCACCAAGGCGACGAUCCGUAGCUGGUCUGAGAGGAUGAUCAGCAACACUGGAACUGAGACACGGUCCAGACUCCUACGAGAGGCAGCAGUGGGGAAUAUUGGACAAUGGGCGCAAGCCUGAUCCAGCCAUACCGCGUGGGUGAAGAAGGCCUUCGGGUUGUAAAGCCCUUUUGUUGGGAAAGAAAAGCAGCAGGUUAAUACCCCGCUGUUCUGACGGUACCCAAAGAAUAAGCACCGGCUAACUUCGUG